AAGAAGAUGAUGAUGAAGAAGAAGCUGUAGACGCAUUGUCUAGUUUUUCAAGCAAUCCCAGAUAUUCUAAUGCUUUAUCCCCAGAGUCCACGCAAGUUACUUGAUAAGAAGAAACUCUAAGCAGCCUCUCUAAAAGCUUCCUAUCAAGAAGACUAUCAUCCACAGCCAAGACAUGAAAAUGUUGCUCCUGCUCCUGCUGCUGAUCUUGCUGUGCCUCUUGUUGCUCUUGUUCCUGUUGAUGUGUAUUUUUAAGACCUGAUUUCUCCUCCAUUUGGUCAGAAAGAAAACUGCGCAACCCAAUUAUACCCAGUACUAGCUUCUGCUAUUCCUUAUAUCACCACACACAAGAACCCCUUAUAUACAGCAGCUUCAGAGAGAGAGAGGGAGAGAGAUGAGAGAUGUGUGGGGUUAUUCCGUGGGGUUUUUAUGAAGUAGGUGAGAAGCAACUGUGGGUUUACAGCAGAAGAAGAAGAGAUUUUAUUAUAUUUUUUUUCUUAAAUUGCAGAGAAGCAGGAGAGAUGUUAUUGUUCUUAUUGUUUUUUUUUUU
rnacentral:misc_RNA from 1 species